CCUACGGGAGGCAGCAGUAGGGAAUAUUGCGCAAUGGGGGAAACCCUGACGCAGCAACGCCGCGUGGAGGAUGACACUUUUCGGAGCGUAAACUCCUUUUGUUAGGGAAGAAUAAUGACGGUACCUAACGAAUAAGCACCGGCUAACUCCGUGCCAGCAGCCGCGGUAAUACGGAGGGUGCAAGCGUUACUCGGAAUCACUGGGCGUAAAGGACGCGUAGGCGGAUUAUCAAGUCUCUUGUGAAAUCUAACGGCUUAACCGUUAAACUGCUUGGGAAACUGAUAAUCUAGAGUAAGGGAGAGGCAGAUGGAAUUCUUGGUGUAGGGGUAAAAUCCGUAGAUAUCAAGAAGAAUACCUAUUGCGAAGGCGAUCUGCUGGAACUUAACUGACGCUAAUGCGUGAAAGCGUGGGGAGCAAACAGGAUUAGAUACCCGUGUAGUC
rnacentral:rRNA from 1 species